AUGUUCAGCAUGGUGUUUGUACUUGGGUUAAUAUCAAACUGUGUGGCCAUAUACAUUUUCAUCUGCACCCUCAAAGUACGAAAUGAAACUACAACGUACAAGAUUAACUUAUGGCAAUGUCAGACUUGCUUUUUGUUUUUACUUUACCCUUUAGGAUUUUUUACUUUACAACAUGGGAUUAGCCAUUUGGAGAUUUACUUUGUAAAAUUUCUGUGAUGCUGUUUUAUACCAACAUGGAUGGAAGCAUUCUGUUCUUAACCUGUAUUAGUGUAGAUCGAUUUCCGGCCAUUGUCUACCCAUUUAAGUCAAAGACUCUAAGAACCAAAAGAAAUGCAAAGAGGGUUUGCAUUGCUGUGUGGUUAACUGUAAUGGGAGGAAGUGCCCCAGCAGUUUUUUUUUCAGUCUACCCACUCUCGGGGUAACAAUACCUCAGAAGCCUGCUUUGAAAAUUUCCCACAAGCCACAUGGAAAACGUAUCUCUCAAGGAUUGUAAUUUUCAUCGAAAUAGUAGGGUUUUUUAUUCCUUAAAUUUUAAACGUAACUUGUUCUAGUAUGGUGCUAAGAACUUUAAAUAAGCCAGUUACAUUAAGUAGAAGCAAAAUAAACAAAACUAAGGUUUUAAAAAUGAUUUUUGUUCAUCUGGUCAUAUUCUGUUUCUGUUUUGUACCUUACAACAUUAACCUUAUUUUAUACUCUCUUAUGAGAACACAAACAUUUGUUAAUUGCUCAGUAGUGGUGGCUGUAAGGACAAUGUAUCCAAUCAUCUCUGUAUUGCUGUUUUGAACUGUUGUUUUGACCCUACAGUUUACUACUUUACAUCGGAUAUAAUUCAGAAUUCAAUAAAAAUGAAAAGCUGGUCUGUUAGGAGAAAUGACUCCAGAUUCUCUGAAGUUCAAAGCACAGAGAAUUUUAUUCAACACAACCUACAGACCUUAAAAAGUAAGAUAUUUGACAAUGAAUCUACAAUAUAAGCUGCCUGAAAUAAGACAACAGGGACUUCACUGGGACAGAACUUUAAAGUUCCUUCCAACUUUGGGGAGUGUUUUCUUGGACAAGCUAUUUCCCCACUUCCAAAAGAAAAUUAACACAUGGACAUUUUAAAGUUUUUAGUAUAAAGAAGAUUUGUAUUCAAUGUAAGCAUUAAAAUAUAUUCUAUUAUUGUAUACAUUUCA